AUGCGCUCUAGCGCUCUUGCAGAGGAGGUGGUCGAUGGUGCGGCAUCAUCCACACGCCGUUCGCACGACCCUCCUAUGCGCGCGAGCAUGGCGCUCCCACUUCCGCCACCACCAACGCGGUCGGAUGUGGCGUCUUCUUCUUCUACGGCAACGGAUCGCCGUGGUACUGACGCUGCGCGCGCUGACAAUGGCAAGGUCAAGGCGCUGCGUGACUACCGGCGCUCCCGUGGCAUGUGCUUCAAGAGCGGCGAGCGCUGGAGCCACGACCAUGUCUGUCCAGCAUCGGUUCAGCUACACGUCGUCGAGGAAAUGCUCGAGCUCUUCGGCUUCGACUCGUCGCCUCCUCCGAGCGAGGGUGCAGGGCCGAGCGACACGGUGAUGGCCAUUUCACUGUCGGCUUUCGACGGCACUGUCUUGUCAAAUGCUUUCCAGCUGCUGGCAACCAUUCAAGGGCGCCAGGUUCUGCUGCUGGUUGAUAGCGGUAGCUCCACCUCAUUCAUCAGCCAAGCGUUGGCGCAGCAACUGUCAGGAGUGGUACCUCUGCAGCAGCACUGCCGUGUCCGUGUGGCAGACGGCGGUGAGCUCACCUGUUCUGUAGUUCUGCCGGCCUGCAAGUGGGAAUCUCAAGGGCAAGAAUUUGUCACCGACAUGAAGAUCCUUCCACUAGGCACCUAUGACGCCAUCCUUGGUAUGGAUUGGCAAGAGAUGCAUAGCCCAAUGACCGUUGAUUGGAAGAACAAGGUCAUUCAAAUACCAACUCCUCUGGGGUCAGCUCGACUGUUCGGCCACGAGGCUAACACCACUGACUGUCAUCUGAUUAGCAGUCUCCAGCUUCAGAACAUGUGUCGUCAAGGCUCACUGUUGCAUAUGGUCCUUCUCUACCCAAUAUCAUAG
rnacentral:rRNA from 1 species